rnacentral:rRNA from 1 species
GACGAACGCUGGCGGCGUGCUUAACACAUGCAAGUCGAGCGGUAAGGCCCUUUCGGGGGUACACGAGCGGCGAACGGGUGAGUAACACGUGGGUGACCUGCCCUCAGCUCUGGGAUAAGCCUGGGAAACUGGGUCUAAUACUGGAUAUGACUCCACGGUGCAUGUCGUGGGGUGGAAAGCCUUGUGCGGCUGAGGAUGGGCCCGCGGCCUAUCAGCUUGUUGGUGGGGGAUGGCCUACCAAGGCGACGACGGGUAGCCGGCCUGAGAGGGCGACCGGCCACACUGGGACUGAGACACGGCCCAGACUCCUACGGGAGGCAGCAGUGGGGAAUCUUGCGCAAUGGGCGAAAGCCUGACGCAGCGACGCCGCGUGAGGGAUGACGGCCUGGGUGUAA